AUUUGAACAUGCUUAUUUCAUUUCAUUUGAUAUAUACUCAGAAGUAGGCCACUGGACUCAUAAGGUAGUUCAGAUUUUUCCCUAGGAAGCUUUCAUACUGCUUUCCAUGGCUGCCAUUGAAGAAAUCCUCUUAGGUAGGUUUCUUGCCUCCUACUGGCUAUCACAAUUGAGCCAUGGUCCACACCUCUCCCAAUGCAGUGCUGUGCCUGGAUGCUUGCUCUUUUCUUCCUAAAAUAAAUUUAUUGAUCAGGCAUUACAACUGUUUGUUACUGACCUCCAUCAGGAUUAUUCUUGCCUAUCACAAAUCACCCUCAAAGUUCAGAUGUUGUUGACGCUGUGGACUUGAACUUCUCUUCUCUUUCCAGAAGUACUGAACCCCAACCCUCACACACACAUCUCUGUUCCCACUUCCCAGUGUGGUCUGGCUGACCUUCUUCACCUUCCCUCUCUCCACUGUUCUACAUAGCAAGUGAGUCAACUAAAAGCAAUGAGAAUUCCCACUGAGUUCACUGGUGAGCCAUGGCACUUCCGGGUCUGUGUCAUUACAGCUGAGAAGACUAGAAAAUGGAGUGUUUUGAUCAACAAGAUCACUUUCGGAAGACAGAAUGGCCCCCAAGUCUGUCUACAAGACUAACAAGAACAGAGAUAUAGCAACCAAAUCCAAAGCCCUGGUACAUGUUCCAGUACUGAAAAACAGAGGUGGUGCCUUUGGAGAUUUCUUCAGAUGUGUAGAACAGACAGACAAACUGACAUUUUAAAGGAAGGUCACUGCUGAGAACCUGGAGGGUAGGAGCAUCUGGAUUCUCAAUCAAGAGCCCGCAGAGGCGGGGUGCAUGCAGCUUCAGCAUCUCCUGGUGGAGGAGCGGCUGUGGGAGGACUCGUGGAAGCUGCUGUGACUCUGACCACGGCUUGAAGAGAGUAAAAUUUCCUUGUGGUCCUCUGUGCAUUGAGAAAGAGGGAGGGAGGGGGAGAGGGGAAAGGGAGGGAGGGGGAGAGGGAGAGAGAGAGAGAGAGAGAGAGAGAGAGAGAGAGAGAGAGAGAGAGAGAAUGCGUGAAUGUGCAUGUGUGUGUGGGGUGGUGGUGGUGGUGUGUGACGUGUAUGCAUGAAUGUGUGUAUGUGAUGUCUAUGUAUCCAUGAGUGUGCACUGUGUGUAUGCAUGAGUGUGCAUAUGUAUGUGUGUGCAUGUGCGUGUGCGUGUGUGUGUGUGUGUGUGUGUGUGUGUGUGUGUGUGUGUGUGUGUAGAAUGUGCUCACAGCAAGCCCAAGCAGCUUUCUAAGUUGGUCCUGCCCUGGUGCUGACCCUUGGAAUGCAGGCUCACUGCCUCCUGAGAAGUGCUGGCAGGAUUCUUAGGAAACUGGAUUAAAGAAUGCUGUGAACCAAAGUUUCAUCCCCAAG
rnacentral:lncRNA from 1 species